AUGUUACCCAGGACAGAGAAGCAGUACAAGACCACUACGGUGCCUUCAGCAGCGCCAAAACGAUGGUUGCCACCGGCUAUAGGGAUCGCGAAGAUCAACGUGGAUGGUGCAGUGCUUCGCUAUGGGCACGGAGGCGUGGCAGCAGCCUUUUGCCGCGACCACAACGGCGCUUAUUUAGGCUCUUCGGCGGUUGUUUUUCAAGGCAUGACAGACCCAAUGAUUCUUGAAACAUAUGCUUGCAGGGAAGCGACGGCGUUGGCAGAAGACCUCAAUCUUCAGGACCUAUGUGUUGUAAGCGAUUGCCAAGGGGUCGUCAAGGACAUCCUCAUGGGAACUAGUGGAGCAAAUGCAGCCAUUGUACAUGAAGUAAUAGAACGCAAGGGUAGUUUUCGUACUUGCAGUUUUGUUUUUGAACAUAGGAACUUCAACUUUGAAGCCCACAAUCUCGCCAAGUAUGCUUGUAAUUUAUCUUUAGGUCGACAUGUUUGGCUGGGCAUGCCCCAUGAUCCAAACCUUGUACCAAUGAACAUUCUUUUGAAUCAAUAA
rnacentral:rRNA from 1 species